ACGAACGCUGGCGGCGUGCUUAACACAUGCAAGUCGAACGGAAAGGCCCUGCUUUUGUGGGGUGCUCGAGUGGCGAACGGGUGAGUAACACGUGAGUAACCUGCCCUUGACUUUGGGAUAACUUCAGGAAACUGGGGCUAAUACCGGAUAGGAGCUCCUGCUGCAUGGUGGGGGUUGGAAAGUUUCGGCGGUUGGGGAUGGACUCGCGGCUUAUCAGCUUGUUGGUGGGGUAGUGGCUUACCAAGGCGUUGACGGGUAGCCGGCCUGAGAGGGUGACCGGCCACAUUGGGACUGAGAUACGGCCCAGAGGCAUACGGGAGGCAGAAGUGGGGAAUAUUGCACAAUGGGCGGAAGGCUGAUGCAGCGACGCCGCGUGCGGGAUGACGGCCUUCGGGUUGUAAACCGCUUUCGCCUGUGACGAAGCGUGAGUGACGGUAAUGGGUAAAGAAGCACCGGCUAACUACGUG
rnacentral:rRNA from 1 species